UACGGGAGGCAGCAGUGGGGAAUAUUGCACAAUGGGCGAAAGCCUGAUGCAGCUAUGCCGCGUGUAUGAAGAAGGCCUUAGGGUUGUAAAGUACUUUCAUCGGGGAGGAAAAACAAAACUAAUAAUUUUAUUUCUUGACGUUACCCGAAAAAGAAGCACCGGCUAACUCCGUGCCAGCAGCCGCGGUAAUACGGAGGGUGCUAGCGUUAAUCAGAAUUACUGGGCGUAAAGAGCACGUAGGUGGUUUUUUUAAGUCAGAUGUGAAAUCCCUGGGCUUAACCUGGAAACUGCAUUUUGAAACUGAAAUACUAGAGUAUCGUAGAGGGAGGUAGAAUUCUAGGUGUAGCGGUGAAAAUGCGUAGAUAUCUGGAGGAAUACCUGUGGCGAAAGCGGCCUCCUAAACGAAUACUGACACUGAGGUGCGAAAAGCGUGGGGAGCAAACAGGGAUUAGAUACC
rnacentral:rRNA from 1 species